rnacentral:lncRNA from 1 species
UAUGUGGUAAAGGAUUUAGUCAAAAAGGUAAUUUACAGAAACAUGCGAGAACACAUACAGGUGACAAACCUUAUGACUGUGAUGUAUGUGGUAAAAGAUUUAGUGAGCAAGGUAAUUUACAGAAACAUGCAAGAACGCAUACAGGUGACAAACCUCAUGUCUGUGUUCUUUGUGAUAAAAAGUUCAGUCAGCUUAGUCAUUUACAGGGACACAUAGGAACACAUACAGGUUACAAACCUCAUAAAUGUGAUAUAUGUGGGAAUGGAUUUAGUGAUCUUAGUAAUUUAAAGAGACAUAGGAAAAUACAUACAUUGUACAUGUACAGGUGAAACAUGUAAACCUCAUAAUUGUGAUGCAUGUGGGAAAGGGUUUAGCCAAAUUAGUAGUUUACAGAGACACAUGAGAACACAUACAGGGGAUAAAUCUCAUGACUGUGAUACAAUGUAUAUAUGUGAAUCCGGGUUUGGUCAGCAUUGUAAUUAACACAUUGACCAUGUUGACACGAGAACACAUGCAGG